CGAGCAGGAGCGUCUAUGGAGCAGUGAGGGCAGGCGGGAGACGGAGCAACCGAACCUGGCGCGGACUGUAGCAAGAGACGCGGGGUGAGAGAGGGUAACCUGCCUGUGACGUCGCUGUGGUGUGUCUGAGCUGCGGUUCCCGGGACGUGCUUCUCCGAUCCGUACUCCUUUCGAGCCUGUAAGGAGGACGCGCACAUACUCAGGGAGGCGAGGGAAGCCCAUUGGUCUCCCUACCGACGCCAGCGACAGGCUGAUUCACUGUCGAGGAGUGGGAAGAUCUAGUGAGAGAGAGGGAGACAACAUCACUGAGACAGCGGAAGGAGGGGAAAACCGCUACACAACGCCUUUGAGAGCGAAGCAAGAGAGAGAGGCAGCCAGCGAGAACGACGGAAAGAGAGAGA